GGCACGAUGGCUGAGUGGUUCAAGCGCUGCCCUGCUACAAGCUUGUAAGGCAGUUCCUUCGGGAUCGCAGGUUCGAAUCCUGCUCGUGUCG